UACAGAGGGUGCUAGCGUUGUUCGGAAUCAUUGGGCGUAAAGGGCGUGUAGGCGGUUUGUUAAGUCCUGCGUGAAAUCCUGCGGCUCAACCGCAGACGGUCGUGGGAAACUGGAAGGCUAGAGUGCGGGAGAGGAGAGUGGAAUUCCCGGUGUAGCGGUGAAAUGCGCAGAUAUCGGGAAGAACACCCGUGGCGAAGGCGGCUCUCUGGAACGCAACUGACGCUGAGACGCGAAAGCGUGGGGAGCAAACAGG
rnacentral:rRNA from 1 species